rnacentral:lncRNA from 1 species
UUCUAUGAACAUCCCUGCUGUGCAGUUCCUCACUUUUGGUGCUGCUGUUGUUUCUAUGGCCAUCCAGAUUUCUAAAGACACAGAAGACAAGUUCCCUUUUCCUGAAAUUUACCUGCACGAAUACGAAAUGAUUUCAUUGAAGGAAGCUGUUAAAGAAUCACCAAGUGACAAGUACUCAUUUGAUGAGGCUCUUAGGUUAUCGCGUGACAUUAUGCUGGUGAAAACCUGCAGACAUUUUGAAGGGAAGUAUAUAGAUUAUCUUUCGAAUUUGGUUUCCAAGAAAAUCGUCCCCGUUGGUUCACUAGUUCAAGAGUCCAUUGACCAAGAUGAUCACGCGGAGAUCAUGCAAUGGCUUGACAAGAAGGAAAAAAAUUCAACUGUGUUUGUCUCAUUUGGGAGUGAGUAUUUCCUAUCUAAUGAGCAGAUACAUGCAGUAGCUCAAGGACUUGAGCUUAGCAAAGUGAAUUUCAUUUGGGUCAUCAGGUUUCCACUAGGUGAAAGAAUUAACAUUCGAGAUGCAUUACCAGAAGGGUUUCUUGAAAGGGUAGGAGAAAGAGGAACGGUCAUAGAAGGAUGGGCCCCUCAAGCAACAAUUCUUCAACACCCAUCGAUAGGUGGAUUCGUGAGCCACUGUGGAUGGAGUUCAUUCAUGGAAAGUAUGAAGUUUGGUGUGCCCGUAAUUGCCAUGCCAAUGCACAUUGACCAACCAGUGAAUGCUAGACUUGUGGAAUAUAUUGGCAUGGGAGUGGAAGCAGCGAGGGUCGAGGAUGGGAAGUUACAAAACGAAGAGAUUGCAAAGGUGAUAAGGGAAGUGGUAGUAGAGGAUCGCGGGGAGGCUGUGAGGAAGAAAGCUAAGCAACUGAGUGAUAGGAUGAAUGCGAAAGGGGAUAAAGAGAUAGAUGGUGUGGUGGAAGAACUGGUGGCACUUUGUAACAACAAAUGAUCAGCAACAAUUACGAUUUAAUUUGCGAUCUGUAACGAAUUCUUACACUAUCAGUGUAACUUGACUAUUGUAGCAAUUUAUUUAUCAUCCUUUUCAGGUACCAAGACAAGUUUUUUCUAGAAAACUUUCCAACGAAUUGCGACCAUAUGAGCUAAACAACGCGUCCUAGCUGUCUUUCUAGGUUUCUUGACCAUCCCAUCCAGAUUUCACUUGACUUUUCCUCUAUAACCUUUUCUAUAACAUGUAAGUUUUUCUUCACAUAUUUCUUUCUGACACUAAGCCCAACUGUAGCAGCAUAUUUGUUGUAAUAUUCAUAUACAUGCUCAUCUGAAUCAUCAACUCCAUCCAAGUUUAAUUGGCUGAAAUGAACGACAAACAUCGUCCAUAUGUUCAAUAUACCAUUUAAAAUGAGAAAGUAAGACAAAUUUCACAAUCCAACACUUACAUUUUAGCAGGUUUUUGCUAAAAAAUAUACUUCUGAACUAAAUUUUACGAUGCAUCGUCCCUUUCACUACAUGUAUUUGACAGAUUGAUACAAUCCUGCUAGCUAUAAAGAAAGAUAAGGGUCCAUAGAGGUAUAUUAGUUUGACAAUCAAUUAAAACAUGCAAAACUGAAGCUCUGCAGCUUGCUCUCUUGCUCUCUGUGUUUCCCUCUUCGUGUGUUCUGUCCUAUCGAUUUUUGGUCUAAGAAUGAUUUCUAGUAACUUGAUAUCCAUGGAAAAAAUCUAAAAGAUUUUCUCUGCUGCCGUGAAUUUGGUUGUUGCCAAACUUCUGAGUGAAAAUGCAGUUUGGUGCGAAGAGGGAAGAAAGAUGAGAUUUGUCACACGAAGGGGAGGAAGUACAGGAAAACAACAAGCUGAAACAACAACAAAAUGAAGCUGUAAAUUGCUGCCAGAAAACAAAAUAUAGAGAAGAAUUACUGAAACUUGUUUUUAAUAUUCUUAUUUUUCUCUUAAUUGAACAUUACAUAGAUUACACACACAUAUAUAUAGUGUGUGUGUGAGGAUUACAAACCACAAAACAAGCAAAAAUAUCUACUAACUAGGAGUUUCUAGACAAAUCUUAAUUUCCUGACACUCCUCCUUAAGAUUUUUCAUUGAAACUCGCUGCAACGUCCUUUGGAACUCAAACUUGUUGGUGGAAAGAGCCUUGGUUAGAAUAUCGGCUUGUUGUUCUUCACUUCUGCAAUGCACCAGCUUAACUUCGCCAUUCUUCUCGGCAUCUCGCAAAGCAUGAAAUCUGAUGUUGAUAUGCUUCGUCCUUCCAUGUUGCACUGGAUUUUCAGCCAUAGCAAUGGCUGAUUUGUUGUCCACAUAGAUCAUUGUUGGUUCUUCUGGCAAAAGAUCCAAUUCAAACAAGAUUUUCCUCAACCAAAUUCCUUGAUUUGUAGUAGAUGCAGCAGCCACAUACUCGGCUUCAGCUGAAGAUUGAGCUACGAUAUCCUACUUCUUUGUGCUCCAAGAAAAAAUGCCUGAACCAAAUGAAAAAGAGAAAACAGAUGUGCUUUUGUAAUCGUCCAAACAUCCACCCCAAUUACUAUCUGAAUAGCCAAUAAGAGCUCUAUCUCCAUACUUCUGUACCAAAUGCCAUAAUCAGUUGUCCCUCUAAUAUACCUUAACACCCUUUUAGCAGCUCCAAAAUGCUUGGUUCUAGGGCAUUGCAUAUAUCGGGACAGCAGACUAGCAGCAAACAUCAUAUCUGGCCUGGUAGCAGUCAGAUAUAACAAUCUUCCAAUAAGACUACUAUAAAGUUUUCAAUCUGCAUGCUCUUCUCCAUUAUCCUUCAUUAACUUUUCAUUCACAACAAGUAGAUUUGCAACAGGUUUGCAUUUAUCAAGUUUGAAUCUUUUUAAGAGAUUCAAGGCAUACCUCUUUUGGGACAAGAAAAUUCCUUCAGAAGAUUGAAAAAUCUCCAUUCCCAAGAAGAACUUCAUCUGUCCUAGAUCAGACAUUUCAAAAACUUUUAGCAUCGCAUUUUUAAUUUCUUGAACCGCAAGAGAAUCUUCACCUGUGAUCAUCAAAUCAUCAACAUAAACAGAUAUCACAAUCAACCUCCUAUCUGCUUUCCUUUUGAAGUAUAAAGUAGGCUCAUUUAAGCUUCUGUUGAAGCCUUAAGACAGAAAAUGAGUAUCCAGCCUACUAUACUAAGCUCUCAGGGCUUGUUUAAGGCCUUAGAGAGCCUUUUUAAGCUUGUACACCUUGUCUUCUUCACCUGCAGCUUUAAAACCUUCAGGUUGUUCAACAUAAAUAUCUUCUUCAAGAAAUUCAUUUAGAAAUGCAGUUUUGACAUCUAAAUGGUAGAUUUUCCACUUGUAUUAUGCUGCAAGAGCAAUUAGAAAUCUUACUGUCCCAUGCCUCGCAACAGGAGCAAACGUAUCUCCAAAGUCAACUCCAGGCUGCUAGGAAUAGCCUUUAACUACAAGUCUGACUUUAUGUUUGAAGAUAGAGCCAUCUGGAUUAAACUUCAUUCUAUAGACCCAUUUAAUACUGAUGACGUUAUUUUGGUCGGGCCUAUCAACCAACUCCUAAGUAUUAUUUUUAUUAAUCAUGGCAAGCUCCUCCUCCAUUGAAGAAAUCUAAGCUUCAUGGUUUGUUGCUUCUUUAAAAGAAGAUGGUUUCACAAGAGUAAAAUUGCAUUGCUCAUAAACUUCAGCUAGUGACCUGGUCUUCAAAACUGGAGAAUCUGAAGUUAAUUCAACAUUUGAAUUGUUCUCUUUUCCAAUAAUAGGACUAGAAGAAAUAUUACUCGUUUGUGGAUUUAGAGCUGCAUCUGAAGUACUCUCUUCUUGGUUCUUUACAAAAAUAUCUCGAUCCCAAUCAUAGUGGCUAAACUCGUCCACCACAAAAUCUCUAUUGAUAAGCAUCUUCUUUGUACUAACAUUAUACACUUUGUACCCUUUUGCAAUUAUGCUGUAGCCCAACAAAAUACAGAGUUCUACCUUGUUUUCUAAUUUGCCUCUUUUAGCAUCUGGAACAUGGGCAUUGCACACCGAACCAAAUACUUUUAAGUGUCUCGCAGACGGAUUUAUACCCCUCCAUACUUCAAAUGGUGUCAUGUCUUGGAGUAUUCUAGUUGGUAACCUGUUUAGCAAAUAGACUGCGGUAUUGACUGCCUUAGCCCAAAAAUAUUUAGGCAUCUUCUUUUCUUCCUACAUGCAUCUCGCCAUCUCCAUCACUGUUCUGUUCUUCCUCUCGGAAACCCCGUUCUGUUCUGGAGUGUAGCAACAGUGAAUUGUUGUUGAAUACCCAAGUCUUUAUAAUACUUGCUAAACUGAUGUGAAGUAUAUUUAAUUCCAUUAUCUAACCUAAUAUACUUCAACCGACAUUCACUCUCCCUUUCUACCAUGGCCUUAAAUUCUUUGAAAAUAGAAAACACUUGAACUUUGCUACUUAAAAAAUAGACCCAUGACAUUCGAGUUAGAUCAUCUAUGAAGAGAAUAAAAUAUUUAUUCCCACUCAAAGAAAAAGUCCUCAUUGAUCCACAUAUAUCUGUAUGAACCAACUCUAGCUUUUCCUUCGCCCUCCAAGACUUCCUUUAGGAAAGGAUCGUCUAUGCAAUUUACCAAAUUGACAUCACUCACAAACAUAUCGGCACAUGUCAAUUUUGGAUACAUCAAGCACCAUACCUUUGGAUUGCAUAUAAACCAAUGAAUUAAGGUUGUAAUGACCGAAUCUUUUGUGCCAAAGCCAGGUAUCACUCAUUUUAACAUUGAAAGAGCAACUUUCAGCAGAAUAGCAUGAAAUUGGAAAGAAAUUACCAAUCAUGCUAAUUUUAGCUACUUCACAACCUUUAGGAUCAUAAAUGACAUAUUUUUUUAUCCUUAAAAGUAAGUGAAUAACUAUUGUGAAGCAAUUGAGCAACACUCAACAAGUUUUGAGUCAAGCUUGACACAUAAAGAACAUUGCUUAUGAUUUUCAUACCUUUGUUCGUAAGAAAUUUUAUUGAUCCUCUUCCUUGAGCUUGCAUCAGUGUACCAUCUCUAAGUUUCAAUUUGGUCCUAUCAGACCUAUCCAAGCUAACAAACAGAUUUUUAUCAAUCGUCAUGUGCCUUGUGCACGCACUAUCGACAUAACAAUUAUAUUGAUCAACAUGUGAUGUGUGCGAAGCCAUGAAUACCUCCUCCUCUGAUUUUUCAACUUGGUGAUCUUCCGCAAAAUUUACUCGUUGAGGAAGACAGACCACUUUGAUCUUGCUUUUGCCUGCAAUACUUCUCAAUGUGUCCAUACUUCUUACAAUAUCUACAUUGACUAGGGGACCUCUUGAACUUCUGCCAACAAUUCUUCUCCAAGUGGUCUGUCUUCUUACAAACACCACAAGGUAGAAAUUUUCCUUUCUUCGACGAUUCACCUUGUUAUCCACCAGAUUUUGCCUCUCCAGAGUAGUCUAAAGAGACUUUUUUGCCUUCCUUUGGUUACUUGAAUUUAUGCCUUGCUUGAAAGGCAUCUUCGACUGUCCCUUCACUUCUCAUGGUCGCCCGUUGCUCUUGAAUUUGCAAUUGCGAGAUCAGCUCAGCUAUUGAAAGAGUAGUCAAGUCACAAGACUCUUCAAUAGCUGAGAUUUUUUAUUCGAACUUGUUUGGAAGGCUGACCAUAAUCUUCUCUACAACUUUAUGAUCUGAAAAGUUUUCACCAAGUAUCCUUAUUUGGUCCACAAUAUCCAUCAGCGUGGAAGAGUAUUCCUUCACAGUAUUUGAAUCCUUCAUCUUCAAGAGCUCAAACUCCCUCUUUAAAGCUAAGACCUUAACAGACUUAACUUUAUUACUGCCUUCAAACUCCUCGUUUAGCUUAUACCAGGCUUCCUUGGCUGUCUCAAAAGUCAUAAUCCUUGUAAAUAUCACUUUCGUAAGACUUGAAUGUAUGUAAGUGAGAGCUCUUGGAGAUCUAGUCACCAACUCAUCAUACUUUUUGAUUUCAUUGAGAGUUGCGUUGUCUCUCAAAUCUUGGACAGCAGGUUCUCCUCUCUCAACGACAUCACACAAGUUGAGAGCCUUCAAAUAAACCUUUAUUUUAAUGGCCCAAAUAUGGUAAUUCUGCCCAGAGAAAAUUGGAGGACCCAUUGUUGGUUGAUUUUCCGGUGCCAUGUUUUCAGCAAAUAGAUCCAAGAAAAGGAGUUAAAAAUAAGAUGAGUCAAUCAACGAAAACAGAUUCAGAUUUCGUAAGAAAUGGACUCUGAUACCAUGUCACACGAAGGGGAGGAAGAACAGGAAAACAACAAGCUGAAACCACAACAAAAUGGAGCUGUAAAUUGCUGCCAGAAAACAAAAUAUAGAGAAGAAGAAUUGAAACUUAUUUUUAAUAUUCUUAUUUUUCUCUUAAUUGAACAUUACAUAGAUUACACACACACAUAUAUAUAUAUAUAGUGAUUGUGUGAGGAUUACAAACCACAAAACAAGCAAAAAUAUCUACUAACUAGGAGUUUCUAGAUAAAUCUUAAUUUCCUAACAAGAUUACUGCAAGUUCCGAUAGCUGAAAAAGAAAAGUAGUGUCAAUAUUAUGGGAUUAAUGUAAAAAAUGAAUAUUUACAGGUAAAUAUUUUAAAAUUUGAGACUCUCUGUACCAUCGAAAAUAUGACAAAUUAUCUACUAGAACCAAUAAAUAUGAUUUAAUGGUAUAAAAACUCUUUACAGUAACGGCGCAUACAACUUGAACUCUAGGGAAAAAUAAGAAAGAAUACCUUUUCAGUUUUCACUAAAGGGUAGUCAAUUGUAAAUUGAGUUGAAGUGUCUGUCAUUAACAAUAUUCCCACAAAAGGCUGCUGGUACAAAACAUUUUUCUUUGUUAUCAAAUCAUUAGGAAAGUUCUAAAUGUCCUGCGUAAUCAAUUACGCACAAGAUAAUCAUAGUAUAGGACAGCAACCUCAAUGCAACAAUAUAAUAUACAAAUUCAGUAUAUUUCUCAAUACUUUUUUCCUGGCCCCAUGGUCCAGGAUGAUCAAUAGUGUUACUACUUGCCCUCCACCUUGACUCAAGCCUUCAACCUACUGGUUGAUGGUGGAGCUGUGGAGGUGCUCAACUAUUUGAGCAAGCCUUCCUUGUCUUAGAUUUUUCAAUACAUAUACAGAUAUACAGUGUUUGGACCAAAACUGACAGAUUUAGUCGUAUUCACUAUGCUAGACCCAUUUCUAGCUCACAACAUAUGGUCAGCAAAUACUAUAUAUUGAUUAAGUCAUACUUACUAGAUCCAUCAUAUAGAUAAAGAAAUUGAGCAAGAGAGGGAGAGAGAGAGAAAUCUAGCAAUUAAUGGAGGCCAAGAAGAACACCAUUAGUGUUCUCAUGUUACCCUGGCUAGCUCAUGGUCACAUAAAUCCAUUUCUAGAGCUAUCCAAAAAGCUUGCAAAUAGAAACUUCCACAUUUACAUGUGUUCUACGCCAGUAAACCUGAACUCCAUCAAGAAAAGAGUCACAGAGAAGUAUUCUCAAUCAAUAGAGUUAGUUGAGCUCAAUCUUCCGUCUUUGCCCGAUCUUCCUCCUCAAUACCACACUACGAAUGGCCUCCCACCCCAUCUCAUGAACACUCUCAAAACAGCAUUUGAAAUGGCCGCUCCAAAAUUUUCCGAAAUAUUACAAACUCUAAAUCCAGACUUAGUCAUACAUGACUACAAUCAGCCAUGGGUUGCUGAUUCGGCUUCCUCUAUGAAUAUUCCAGCUGUGCAGUUCCCCACUUUUAGUGCAACUGCUGUUGCUUGGGCCAUCCACAUGUCUGAAAACAUAGAAGAGAAGUUUCCAUUUCCUGAAAUUUACCUGCACCAAUACGAAAUGCUUUCAUUGAAGAAAGAUAUUAAUGAAGCACCAGAUAAGAUGUUCCCAUUCGAUGAAGCUCUUAAGCAAUCGCAGGAUAUUAUUCUAGUGAAAACUUGCAGAGAUUUUGAAGGGAAAUAUAUAGAUUAUCUUUCAAAUUUGGUUUCUAAGAAAAUCGUCCCUGUUGGUUCGCUAGUUCAAGAGUCCAUUGACCAAGAUGAUCAUGACGAGAUCAUGCAAUGGCUUGACAAGAAAGAAAAAGGUUCAACUGUCUUUGUUUCCUUUGGGAGUGAGUAUUUUCUUUCUAAUGAGCAGAUAAAUGCAGUAGCUCAAGGGCUAGAGCUUAGCAGAGUGAACUUUAUUUGGGUCAUCAGGUUUCCACAAGGUGAACGAAUUAACAGUCGAGAUGCAUUUCCAGAAGGUUUUCUUGAAAGGGUGGGAGAAAGAGGAAUGGUUAUGGAAGGAUGGGCCCCCCAAGCAAAAAUUCUUCAACACCCAUCGACCGGUGGAUUCGUGAGUCACUGUGGAUGGAGUUCUUUCAUGGAAAGCAUGAAGUUUGGUGUUCCCAUAAUUGCAAUGCCAAUGCACAUUGACCAACCAAUGAAUGCUAGGCUUGUAGAAUAUAUCGGGAUGGGAGUCGAAGCAGUGAGGGAUGAGAAUGGGAAGCUAAUGAGUGCAGAGAUUGCAAAGGGGAUAAGGAAGGUGUUAAUGGAAGAAAGCGGGGAGGGUGUGCGGAAGAAAGCUAAGCAACUAAGUGAGAAGAUGAACGCGAAAGGGAAUGAAGAGAUAGAUGGUAUGGUGGUAGAGCUGCUGGCCGUUUGUAACAACAAAUAACAAGCAACAAUCAAGAUUUAAAUUACUAUCUAGAAUGUAAUUUUACGCUUUGUAACUUGACUAUUGUAGCAAGUUAUUUAUCAUCUUCUUCAGGUACCAAGAUAUGUUUUCUAUAGACAAUUACUUUUAUAGUUUGCAUAAUGAACAGCUUGCCAAAUUCUUUUCACUAGGAACAUAUAUAGCUAAAAUCUCAUAUAAAGGCAUGCAAUAAUAACGAAAGAGAAAAAAAAGGGAAACCAGUCAUUUACUCAUAUAACUUGUAGAGGAGUACUCUUCUUAUAAUCAAGCAACUCGGUAGUUUUUGGCAUCUGGAAUGGCCAUGAGUAAUGUUUUAUAGAUAUAUCAGAUAAGUUUAUUCUCGUCUAUAAAACUUUUAUUCCUUAUAGCCUCCCUCAAGUGCACCUGGGGUUAACCACAGCCAACUUGUCACGAAGGUAAUUGAAUUGUCUUGUAGAUACACUCUUGGUCAACACAUCAGCAAUCUGAUCCAACGAACUUAUGUACUUGACUUGCAAAUCCUUGGCUGCAACCUUUUCCCGAAUAAAGUGAAAAUCUAGCUCGAUGUGUUUAGUGCGAGCAUGAAAAACUGGAUUAGCAGUGAGGUAUGCAGCUGAGAUGUUGUUGCACCAAAGUUUAGGAGCUUGAGGCAAAAUAACACCAAGUCCACUGAGAAGACUCUGAAGCCAAGUAAUUUCAGCUGUAGCAGCAGCUAAGGCCCUGUAUUCAGCUUCAGUACUUGAGCAAGCAACCACUCUUUGUUUCUUGGAACACCAAGAGUCAAGAGACAAUGUUUGAUUCAAAAAUGUACCAACCAAGCAAGAAGCUUCGAUCAUCUGGGCAGCCAGUCCAAUCAGCAUCAGAGAAACUAUUUAUAUUAAGUCGAGGAGAGGGUCGUAAAAGAAGCCCCAGAUGAAGAGUACCCUUGAGAUACCGAAGUAAGCGUUUCAUGGCUUGAGAGUGCGACUCCAUUAGGUUGUGCAUGAAUUGGCAGAGUUUGUUCACAGUGUCACAUCCUUUUUCGCCCGGACGGAUCGAAGUUGAAGGAUUUUUCUAAUUAAAAUAACGGUGUUAAAUAGAGAUUAUUUUAAUUACAAAGCCGCCACUUGGAAUUAAGUUAUGGUGUUCCAAGUCACCUUAUUGAAUCCCUAAUAAAAAAGAAGUGACUCUUUAUUAUGGUCUGCAAAAAUAGAAGAUCGGGUAAGGAAUUCUGUUGACCGAGAGGAAGGUGUGAGGCACCCCUCGCGUCUCGUGGUUCAAGUACGGUCGCUUUUAUUGACUUAUAACUUAAACUAUUUCGAUAAAUUGUGUUAAGGCCUACGUCGCUCAUUUUAUUAUACUAAAACUCGUCUUACUAAAUAAAUCGAUAAAUGUAAAAAUAUUUGUCAAAUUAAUUUUAGAAAAAGUAUUUGCCAAGCUGUACUUUUUUUACAUCCUUCAAUUUUAAAUGUCUCGAAAAUGAUGCAUAUGUCGCAUUCUUAAUCGAGAUGAAUAUUUUAAACAUAUCUAAAAUUUAUCUAGUAUUUAAAAGCGUGCUUACUUGAAAUACUACUUAAUCUUAAAUAAAAUUUAAUUAAAUGAUUAAUUAUUAGUUUACGAAAAUAAUUAUCUACAUUUAUUAAUAAUGACAAAUAAAUUAAAAUAAUAAUAAUAAUAAUAAUAAUAAUAAUAAUAAUAAUAAUAAUAAUAAAAAUAACACCCUAAACUAACCAUAUUAUUUUUAAUUUUGAUAAAUCCCAAAUUUAUAUAUAUUUAGUAAUUAACAUAAAAAAUAAAAUAUCAUAAAACCAAAUUAUCUACGAAAUAAUCAUUUUUUUUUAUAGCAAACUAAAGACACACUAUGUUAAAUUAACGCCUAAUGAAAAAGAAAUGCUAUUAAUCAGUUUUGAUAUUUUUCGGCGACAGGUGGGUUUUCGAUGGGACGACGGAAAAAGAAUAAAAGAGAGAAUGAUGGUGGCAGCGCGUUGGUGAGGUUAGGGAAGGCGCUGAGUCGCCGGCGCUGGGGCGCAGAUCUGGUAAAAGAUUGGCCGGAGAAGGAGCCAGCGACGGAAAAAAAAGGGGGGGGGUGCUGUCGCAGGGAGAGGGGAGAGAGAUGGCAGGCUCGGGGAAAGGAGAAGAUGGGGCAGUGCCAUUGUUAGGCUUCGCCGUUGGCCGGAAAUGGAGGAGGGACGGUGGUGAAUGGUGGAGGCGCGACUGUCGCCGUUCAUAGUGGCUGAUCCAGCGAGAUACAGCCGGCGAUGGGGGAUUGUUGGCGAUGUUAGAUCUGGUUUGGAAUGUUUUUCGGCGCAUUUCGUCGCCGGAAUAGUAACAGUAAUAGCGAUGGAAUAUUUGGUCAUUGUUUUCUAUAUAUUUUCCGACGAAAAAUAUGUUUCUUCUCAGAUUCAAAACUUUCGCUAUUUUUAUUGAAUCAAAUUCAAAAUUUUGCUGCUUAAUUACUAAUUUUCUCUCCCUAUCUAUCAAUUUCUCUUCACUUUUUUUUUUCGGUCAUUUAUUAUACUGUAUGUGCAAGUGAAAAUGGAGGAAUGUCUUGUGCAUUUUUCAGUGUGUAUGCGUAUAUGAGGAUGACAGUGCGUGUUUUGUGUGUUUGUGUGGGUACAGUGUUAGUGUCUGCAGUAUAUUUCUUGCCUCUAAUGGAUAUCUGUAAAUUGUACAUAGUGUAAACAAUGAACUCAUUUUUUUUUAUUAAAUAAUAAACAUACAUAAUAUUUAAACAUUAUCUGCAUACAAAUAUACACAUAUUCUGAAAUCUGAAUGCUAAACGAUGUUCAAGAUCACUUUAACAUUCGAUAUUAUACUUUUCACAAAAAAGUUUACAAUAAAUAGCAUAAAAUUGAAAUAGAACCUGUUAAUGUAUUUAAGAAAAAUCCAAUCAUCGUAAUCGAAAACCUUGAUCCCACUUCAACUUUUAUUUCUCUCUUUGUUUGAGUCCAUAAAGAGCUUUGUGUAACCUGCACACAUGAAUCGAAAAUUUCGGAUCAAUAAAACCUGUUGGUUGAGUCAUAUAUCUGACCAUGUAGGAAAGCAUUCUUGACGUCUAACUGACAAAGAGCCUGUCCUCGUGCAAUAGCUAUGGUAAAAAUAACUUGGAUUGUCGUAGGCUUGGCCACCCGACUAAAGGUAUCAUGAUAAUCAACUUGAGAAUCCAUAUACAUACCACUUGGGAUUCACUUGCCAUAUGUAUAUGGAUUCUCAAUGGAACCAUUAGGAUUGAGUUUCAACUUGAGAAUCCAUAUACAUACCACAAUAUUUUUGGCAAGUGAAGAUGGGACAAGAGACCAUGUACCAUUUUGGAUAAGAGCGUUGUAUUCCUCUAGCAUGACCUUUCUCCAUUCAGGAUCUUUGUUAGCUUGGGAAGAGUUUGUAAAUUGAGUAGACUUCCUUGAUUUCAGAUUGGAAAAG